rnacentral:rRNA from 1 species
GAACGGGUGAGUAAUGUAUCGGAACAUAUCCGCAAGUGGGGGAUAACGUAGCGAAAGUUACGCUAAUACCGCAUAUUCCCUGAGGGGGAAAGGAGGGGAUCCGCAAGGACCUUUCGCUUACGGAGUGGCCGAUAUCAGAUUAGCUAGUUGGUGGGGUAAAGGCCUACCAAGGCGACGAUCUGUAGCGGGUCUGAGAGGAUGAUCCGCCACACUGGGACUGAGACACGGCCCAGACUCCUACGGGAGGCAGCAGUGGGGAAUUUUGGACAAUGGGGGCAACCCUGAUCCAGCCAUGCCGCGUGAGUGAAGAAGGCCUUCGGGUUGUAAAGCUCUUUCAGCUGGAAAAAAAUCGCAUCACCUAAUACGUGGUGUGGAUGAUGGUACCAGCAGAAGAAGCACCGGCUAACUACGUGCCAGCAGCCGCGGUAAUACGUAGGGUGCGAGCGUUAAUCGGAAUUACUGGGCGUAAAGCGUG